GCAGCGAAGACUCUUAUCUUACACUCAAAUGGAAACUCUAACCAAGUAAAUUUGGAUCAAUUCUAUAAAUUAUGGCAGGACGAUAGGGGCCUGCUAUCUGUCUCAAAUCUCUGUCGUUUUCAAGCCCUCAUGGUGAGGAUCGCACCCAGAAGGCAAAAACACACGUAGACAUGGAUAAUUGAGUUUCAGGUUUGCUCAUGUAAGUUAGUAGUCUGCAGGCCACAAACACCAAAGCUUCCCCAUCUCCAGAGAGGAAGCUUCUUAGCUCGAAACAGAUGCCUGAGAUGAGAUUGUUACUAUCUGUUACACUUAUCACCUUACUGCUAUCAUUUCUAUUCCCUCUAUGUUCAGCCCUUGAACGUGUCUGGGUUCCAGCACAUGGAGAUUCUGGUUCUCUUACCCAACAAGAAGUGGAAACAAGCAAGGCAUCGUGGGUUCUUCAUGUUGCAGAUGCUGACAGAGAGAGAUUAAAUGCUUAUCGUUUCUUCCAUGCCCGGAAGCUUGGCGUCCACAGGAAGAGAAAGGGGCGGUUGAUACCUGGAGGCCGCACAAGAUCUUCAUCCGGAUUCCGACCAUCAGUAUCUUAUAGCCAUCUUGUUGGAGUUCAGCCAAUGAAAUCAGUGUCACCCCAAAACAAGCAUGUCCAGAGAUUUCGAAACAUCUUCUACAAGUGAAAGAACUUCAAGGUUCAAAUGAUACGAUUCCACUGGAUGGAGAAAGUAAGCCAAUAAAACAUGAGGCGAAAUUAAACCUGCAGACUGUGGAGAGAGGCAAGAAAGGAGGGAGGGGAGGAGGUGGUGGUGGUGGUAAUGAUGCGAGACCACAUAUACGAAAUAGUGCAACUUCCUUCAUGGCAAGGCCCUCUUCAUACAUCUCAACCAACCUGGUGCAAAUUUUCAUUGGAGUGCUCAUUAUUAAUUUUCUUGUCUUCUUUUGAAUAGUUGGUCUGGUUUCCUUGUUUAAAUUUGGAGAAUAGCUUCUGUGUUUCUCCUUUUGGUUAAACACUGGUAUAAUUAGUUAUCUAAUAAUCAUUCACCAAUUAGUCCUUUGGAUUUAAAAAA